rnacentral:rRNA from 1 species
GACGAACGCUGGCGGCGUGCUUAACACAUGCAAGUCGAACGGAAAGGCCCUGCUUUUGUGGGUUGCUCGAGUGGCGAACGGGUGAGUAACACGUGAGUAACCUGCCCUUGACUUUGGGAUAACUUCAGGAAACUGGGGCUAAUACCGGAUAGGAGCUCCUGCUGCAUGGUGGGGGUUGGAAAGUUUCGGCGGUUGGGGAUGGACUCGCGGCUUAUCAGCUUGUUGGUGGGGUAGUGGCUUACCAAGGCUUUGACGGGUAGCCGGCCUGAGAGGGUGACCGGCCACAUUGGGACUGAGAUACGGCGCAGACUCCUACGGGAGGCAGCAGUGGGGAAUAUUGCACAAUGGGCGGAAGCCUGAUGCAGCAACGCCGCGUGCGGGAUGACGGCCUUCGGGUUGUAAACCGCUUUCGCCUGUGACGAAGCGUGAGUGACGGUAAUGGGUAAAGAAGCACCGGCUAAAUACGUG